GACGAACGCUGGCGGCGUGCCUAAUACAUGCAAGUCGAACGAACUCUGGUAUUGAUUGGUGCUUGCAUCAUGAUUUACAUUUGAGUGAGUGGCGAACUGGUGAGUAACACGUGGGAAACCUGCCCAGAAGCGGGGGAUAACACCUGGAAACAGAUGCUAAUACCGCAUAACAACUUGGACCGCAUGGUCCGAGUUUGAAAGAUGGCUUCGGCUAUCACUUUUGGAUGGUCCCGCGGCGUAUUAGCUAGAUGGUGGGGUAACGGCUCACCAUGGCAAUGAUACGUAGCCGACCUGAGAGGGUAAUCGGCCACAUUGGGACUGAGACACGGCCCAAACUCCUACGGGAGGCAGCAGUAGGGAAUCUUCCACAAUGGACGAAAGUCUGAUGGAGCAACGCCGCGUGAGUGAAGAAGGGUUUCGGCUCGUAAAACUCUGUUGUUAAAGAAGAACAUAUCUGAGAGUAACUGUUCAGGUAUUGACGGUAUUUAACCAGAAAGCCACGGCUAACUACGUGCCAGCAGCCGCGGUAAUACGUAGGUGGCAAGCGUUGUCCGGAUUUAUUGGGCGUAAAGCGAGCGCAGGCGGUUUUUUAAGUCUGAUGUGAAAGCCUUCGGCUCAACCGAAGAAGUGCAUCGGAAACUGGGAAACUUGAGUGCAGAAGAGGACAGUGGAACUCCAUGUGUAGCGGUGAAAUGCGUAGAUAUAUGGAAGAACACCAGUGGCGAAGGCGGCUGUCUGGUCUGUAACUGACGCUGAGGCUCGAAAGUAUGGGUAGCAAACAGGAUUAGAUACCCUGGUAGUCCAUACCGUAAACGAUGAAUGCUAAGUGUUGGAGGGUUUCCGCCCUUCAGUGCUGCAGCUAACGCAUUAAGCAUUCCGCCUGGGGAGUACGGCCGCAAGGCUGAAACUCAAAGGAAUUGACGGGGGCCCGCACAAGCGGUGGAGCAUGUGGUUUAAUUCGAAGCUACGCGAAGAACCUUACCAGGUCUUGACAUACUAUGCAAAUCUAAGAGAUUAGACGUUCCCUUCGGGGACAUGGAUACAGGUGGUGCAUGGUUGUCGUCAGCUCGUGUCGUGAGAUGUUGGGUUAAGUCCCGCAACGAGCGCAACCCUUAUUAUCAGUUGCCAGCAUUAAGUUGGGCACUCUGGUGAGACUGCCGGUGACAAACCGGAGGAAGGUGGGGAUGACGUCAAAUCAUCAUGCCCCUUAUGACCUGGGCUACACACGUGCUACAAUGGAUGGUACAACGAGUUGCGAACUCGCGAGAGUAAGCUAAUCUCUUAAAGCCAUUCUCAGUUCGGAUUGUAGGCUGCAACUCGCCUACAUGAAGUCGGAAUCGCUAGUGAUCGCGGAUCAGCAUGCCGCGGUGAAUACGUUCCCGGGCCUUGUACACACCGCCCGUCACACCAUGAGAGUUUGUAACACCCAAAGUCGGUGGGGUAACCUUUUAGGAACCAGCCGCCUAAGGUGGGACAGAUGAUUAGGGUG
rnacentral:rRNA from 2 species